UACGGGGGGGGCAAGCGUUGUUCGGAAUUACUGGGCGUAAAGGGCUCGUAGGCGGCCAACUAAGUCGGACGUGAAAUCCCCAGGCUCAACCUGGGAACUGCGUCUGAUACUGGAUGGCUUGAAUCCGGGAGAGGGAUGCAGGAUUCCAGGUGUAGCGGUGAAAUGCGUAGAUAUCUGGAGGAAUACCGGUGGCGAAGGCGGCAUCCUGGACCGGCAUUGACGCUGAGGAGCGAAAGCCAGGGGAGCAAACGGG
rnacentral:rRNA from 1 species